UACGUUCUGGGGUGCGAUUCACUAAGAAAAAACAUCUUUACAACCAAGAAAUCAUCGUUGUAACAUCAGAUGUAAACUCGGCGGUAUUCAUUAGUUAAAAUUGCGCGAUCGUAGCGCCUCAACGAUGUUGACGGCGUGACAUAGAACUAACAUUUGGUGCCAAAUGUAUGAAAAUCGGUAUUCAGCAACACGAAACAUCCUCGCCUGCAACGACAACCUCGCCUUCGCCCUCGAUUUUAUCUGUCAAACCGAAAAGCUUGUAAAUUGUGGAUGUUUUCUUGGAUGAAGGCGAUUAAAAUAUGGCAGUUCGUCUUUCCUGUACUUAUGAUUUUUUUGUUGGAAGAAACUAAACAUCAAGAUAAUUAAAUAAAUAAAAAGUCACGCCUCCAUGAUACGUAAUAUGGAUUUACUAACUACUGAUAAAAACUAUAUUAAGGUUGACUGAAGAACAGAUUAGACAGUUGAAAGAAGAUUUCUCCUUUCCUAACAAAGGCGAAUCGUUAAGGAGGAAUUAGCAACCACACCAAUAUAUUACACUUAAACAAUAUAAUAUAAAUCAUCAUACAGUACAGUGGAUAGGUGCCUAAAACUUACUGGCCAUCAACCUUUUGUAUGUACUGUAAAUUUUUUGGUUAGUGGGAUUUAUGUACCAAAUAAUGCUAUGUGACAUUGCAAGAACAAUGUCUCACAGGCAUCUGCCUCAAGGACUCAACAUUAUACAGUAGAUGCCAUCAACCAUCAAGAUAUUAUUGAUAAGUACGAGGUAAGAAGCGACUGUGACCCGGUUAACAAGCAAGCCGGACUCUAGCAGUGACUUGGACAGUGGACGUCAUGCUAGAAGUUAUUUAAUAAACAAUAAUAUGUGUGACACCUUCUAACAAUACAUAUGUAUUUUAUUACCUGUUACUGUUACAGCCUCUUUUUUAUCGUCCCACUGCUGGGCACAGGCCUCCUCUCACAUGGUUUGAGCAUUGAGCACCACCCUUGCUCAAUGCGGGUUGGUGUUUUCCUUCACCUUUUUAUCAGCCAGUGGCGUCCAAGAUAUACUUGUACAUAAAAACUUAGAAAAGUUGCAUUAUUUUACCGUAUUUUACCUGUGUAUGUUAAAUAGUAUUUUAACAUUACACAAUAGUGUGCAGGUAUCAAAGUAAUUCUUAUAAAAAUACUUUACUUUUCUGUAAUCAUUAAUUAAUAAAACAAUAUUUUAAUUCAA
rnacentral:lncRNA from 1 species